UUUUUGUAUAAGGGCGUGAAGCUUCGCGCAAUAAAUAGGUUAGGAUUUUUCGUGCCACAGGAUCACCCGCAUAUUUCGUAAGACUUUCGGUCAAAAAAGAAAUGACUUGCCCACCUUUACAAACCUUUUUCUUAGACCUAGUGGCAUUAACAACAUGUGAAAUGUCAUUUCCUUCAUUAAGUUGCUCUAAAAGAUCGUCGAUGUUACUAAGACCUAAAUCAUCGCUGCUGGAAGCAUUCUUUUCCAUAGACAAAAGCAGGUCACGUAGAAUUAAAUACACUUGUCGUAAUGAACGCGAUGUGGGAAGAGUAUAAAGGCGAAGAGUUUGAAGAGAAAAAUUUGGAUCAAUUCGGCUCUGAUUUUCACACUGCAUGAUAAGUACCACGUAGUCCAUCACAAACUUUCGCAAAGCAGCGCACAAUGCGUGGUUAACAAAUCCGUAUUCAAAAUGGCUUCUCGAUUCUAUAAAAGCUGUGAUACUUAAAUAAUGAGACCCCAUCUCUAACAUCUCAGAAGCAAUAUCCUUUAUACCUAAAUCAAAUCCAGGAAGAAUAUAAAACGAUGGCGGCAUAAUAAUGGUUUCAAACUCAGAGGAUGCUUUCAUGUCUUGGAGAUGUACAAAUACACCCUCCAUGCCCAUAAAUGCAUUUAAGAGUUCGUUUAUGAGACAUGCUUCCUGCUGAUGGAUAUUUAAGUUCGAAGGAUCGCUAAAAGUCUUCCCAUCGUAAAGAUAAUUUAAUUGAAUCCUAUCAGAAAAUGGAGAAACACCUUCACUCUUCAAAGAGACAUGAUAAACGCUCCCUUCCUCGAGAGCUGGAAUUGGACUCCCAUUCUCGCUUUCUUCUUUAGCAAGCACCGAACUAAUCGAUCUCACCAUUUAAAGAGUCUUUUUUUAUAUAAUCUACAAAAGUGUGAACAUUUAUUUAAUAUUUAGUGCUCUUUGUAAUUAUUAUUCGGAUAUGCUUGUUUACCAGCAGGCCAGUUUUAAGAUGUAGGUUGGUAAGUAUGCGCCAGCUAACAAUCAACGCAAUUUCAAAGCAAACCAACUCAGGUCCGUGUAGCAUUAAAAAAUGCAAAAAAGUAUAAAAAAAAUUAGUCAAAAAAUACAUAACUAGAAGACUGCAGCAUUUUCUAUUGUAAGACUACCGUAAACUCAAAGGACCCCAAAUACUCAUUCGAGUAUAUAUGGAUAGCAGUAGACAGUGACAAAUUCUAUAUGCUAGAGUUUAUUUUGAAUGGAUAA